GAUGAACGCUGGCGGCGUGCUUAACACAUGCAAGUCGAACGGGAAUUAUUUUAUUGAAACUUCGGUCGAUAUGAUUUAAUUCUAGUGGCGGACGGGUGAGUAACGCGUGGGUAACCUGCCUUGUACAGGGGGAUAACAGUCAGAAAUGACUGCUAAUACCGCAUAAGCGCACAGGACCGCAUGGUCCGGUGUGAAAAACUCCGGUGGUAUAAGAUGGACCCGCGUUGGAUUAGCUAGUUGGUGAGGUAACGGCCCACCAAGGCGACGAUCCAUAGCCGGCCUGAGAGGGUGAACGGCCACAUUGGGACUGAGACACGGCCCAGACUCCUACGGGAGGCAGCAGUGGGGAAUAUUGCACAAUGGGGGAAACCCUGAUGCAGCGACGCCGCGUGAAGGAAGAAGUAUCUCGGUAUGUAGACUUCUAUCAGCAGGGAAGAAAAUGACGG
rnacentral:rRNA from 1 species